GCAAAUUGCUUUGAGCCAGUUUAAUGUUUUGCAUGGAUACACGUACACAAAGCGUGCCUAUUUUUAAAGAUUAUAAUACCAUCAUGCAAUCAACAAGUAAGCGAAUCAGGAAAUGUACAUAUUUUUAAAAGUAAUAUUAUUUAAAAGUAAUAUUAACGUUUUCUAACAUAUUUUAAUCGUUUUGGACAUUUUUGACUGUUAUAUUUGUAUAAUUAUAGUUACUUAAAAAUAUUAUUUAGUUAUAUUUUUUUAUGAACUAGUUCCUAGGUUUAGCAAUCGAUUCUGCGGUUCUUUUUGAAAAACGUGUAAUUUGAAAAAGUUUCCUCAAUAUAGAUUAUUUUGUAUAUAGUCUGGCUAUUCUUAACAAGAACGUCCUAGUUAAAUAUAUGACAAGGCCUAGAUAACUGCAUUAAUUAACUAGACAACUAUGGUAGAAAGAGAGAUAACAUAAGCGGGAAAUUAAACCAGGGAUAUUAAUUAUUAAGAGCGGUUGUCUGUAAUAGUCAGGUAAGACGUGUAAAAUGAGAAAUUUCAAAAUCCUUCAAACUUUGUCACAAUAUAGGCCUAUAUGAAGUAUUAAUGUUGUGAAAGUUUUAUUUCGAUCGGAUAAAUAUUGAAGGAGAGAGACGUCGAAAUUGGUUUUCCCAGGCCACGUUCGAUUUUUAGAGGUCAUUUUACGGGACUACCAAAAUCGCUC